CCUACGGGAGGCAGCAGUAAGGAAUAUUGGUCAAUGGGCGCAAGCCUGAACCAGCCAUGCCGCGUGCAGGAAGACGGCCCUAUGGGUUGUAAACUGCUUUUGAACAAGAGAAAACCUCGGUACGUGUACCGAGCUGAUAGUAUUGUUAGAAUAAGCAUCGGCUAACUUCGUGCCAGCAGCCGCGGUAAGACGAAGGAUGCAAGCGUUAUCCGGAUUCAUUGGGUUUAAACGGGUGCGUAGGCGGCCUGAUAAGUCAGUGGUGAAAUCUCUCAGCUUAAACUGAGAAACCUGCCAUUGAUACUGUCGGGCUUGAGUACAGAUGAUGUGGGCGGAAUAUGACAUGUAGUGGUGAAACUACUUAGAUAUGUCAUAGAACACCGAUUGCGAAGGCAGCUCACAAACUGUAACUGACGCUGAGGCACGAAAGUGCGGGGUAUCAAACAGGUAUUAGACUACCCGUGGUAGUCCGCACCGUAAACGAUGACUUACUCGUUGUG
rnacentral:rRNA from 1 species